UCUUCUUAUAAAGACGCUAGUCAUUGGGUUAGGGCCCACUGUAAUCCAGGAUGGCCUCAUUAAUUUGAUUACACCUGCAAAGACCCUAUUUACAAAUGAGGUCAUAUUCAGAGAUACUAGGAGUCAGAAAUUUAACAUAUCUUUUUGGGGAUACAAUUCAACAAUUUUAAUGCUUGCUGUAGCUUUAAAUGGAAGGGGUUUCAAAGUUCUUAGGAGUCCUUGUUUUUGUCUUCCCAGGUAUCUCUUGUUUUCUCUAAGACCUCCUCUUAAAUAGAAACUGACCCUUGCAGCUCUUUCAGCUGUUAUCCAUUGUUAAUACGCUUGAGCCCUGGUGAUGCAGUGGGAAGAAGUGGGAGAGGAAAAACCUUCUAUGAUAUUAUGAUUACGUUUUAGUGUUUUAGUAAGUCUUUGUCUCUGGACUGCAACCUUCACAAGUGUUUCUUCAUCCUCUCCUGUCUUAUACUUGAAAAAGGAAGACUAGAAGAAGCUGGAGCCUGGGACAUGCCUUUCCACCAGCUGAUAUAAGGCUCUUUUUGCCAGAAGGGCUUUGUUAUAAAGAACACUCCCAGCAUAUUUCAAAAUGGCUACUUUCCUCUUUUCCUGCCAGAGGGAUGAGACCCAGCCCUGCAGUUGCCUUGAAAACCAGCAGCCAGGAAGCCAGUGAAGAGAGAAUGGUGUUGGAGCCCCUUCAAAGCCCCAUCCCCAGAAAACUAUCAUUUUACAUGGUUGGUGUUUCCAUGGAAGAUUCUACUCACAAGGCUGUCUUUAUCCUGAAUCGGAGCUCUCCCAGUGCAAAAAGGCUUUCCCCUGGGGGUGUUGGCCCAAAAAAUGUAUGCAAUUGUUUAAAAAUCUGGAUUUCUGUAUUGUAGGAUAAUGGGUAGGGCCAAAAAUAGGCUUAACAAAGGAAAAGCUGGGAAUGAGAUGUACAUGAAACCUUGGAUUAACUAUGUCAUAUUCCUGAGAAUCUAGAAGGCUAUGCACGUGUGAAGGGCUAUGCACAGUCACAGAAAAGACCUCAUAGGCUCUCAGAGACUCUGUGCGAGCAGGAAAAGAAGGCUAGGAGGGAUCCUCAACUGCCUGAGUGUUGAAGGCGUGUCCCGACUCUCUCACAGAGCUCUCAGCAAAGACUGGGAGAUGCAUUGGUUCCAGACAUUUAAAAAAAACCUAUGUCCAAUCAUUCAUAGACCAAUGACCAAGCCUAUCAGUGACAUCAGUGGCCAUAAACAGCGACAUGAGGGGAAUAAUAGAGACAUCACAGAAUUUUUCAGAAAAGUAACUAAACAUGUAAACAACAAUGAACACCCCUGGGGAAGGAGGAGAACCUAUUUUCUAGAGCUUUGGCUUUAUUUUAAAUGUCCAGUUUAGAACAAUAGUAAAAAAAAAAUAUGAGAAUAAGAAGCAAGAAAACAUGGCUCAUGCACAGGAAAAAGGUCAUCAAUAGAAACUGUCAUUAAGGAAACCCAGACAAGGACUCACUAGAAACAAAGUUCAAAUCAGUUAUUAAAUACGUUAAAGAACUAAAGGCAAUAAUAAGUGAUAACUAAUGGAAAGAAUGAAUAUAAUAUCUCAUCAAAUAGAUAAUAUGAAUAAAGAGAGAGACAUUAUAAAAUAGAACCAAACAGAAAUUUUGGCAAAUACCAAGGAGAACAGUUGCUGGAUUGGUAUAUAAGAUUAUAUCCAGUUUUAUAGGAAACUGCCAAACCGUCUUCUAAAGUGGCUGUACCAUUUUGCAUUCCCUCCAGCAAUGAAUGAGAUUUCCAGUUGCUACACAUGAACGACAACUAGUUUUGAAUUGUCUCAUUAUUUUAUAGGAUGGUUUUGAAGAUUUGAGGGAAAAGCAUCAAAUUGGUGGCCAAGCUUCUAUGCCCCUCUUCCCAUUUUCUGGGGCAGUGAAAGGAAGUAUCUUCCUCUUUCAUAUGCUGUUUUAAUCCAUUAGACAUUGUUUUGCACUAAGAAACUUAAAAAUAGGAAAGCAUGUUGGAAGAUUAUUCAGUCAAAAUAGGUGAAUAAAAACAUAAGUAAAUAUAAAGCACUUGAACAUUAUAGUCAGUGUUCGGUGAUCUAUUUCUCUCUCUUCUUAUCUGUAAUAUGGUGACAUAUUUGUGUCUCAGCAGAGGUCUGUUGUAAGGAAUCUCGGACCAAUUGCCCAAUGCUCAUUUUUAUGUGUUAUAAAUGUCACAAUUAUUAUGUUCUAUUUUAAUAAAUAAAUUUUGCAAGAUAGAUAUUCUCAGUCCUAUUUAGAGAUAAAGAAUCUGGGGCUUAGAAACUUAAGAUGCUUUCCCAGGGUUACUAGAAAU
ensembl:lncRNA